GCAUUGGUGGUUCAGUGGUAGAAUUCUCACCUUCCACGAGGGAGACUUGGGAUUCAUUCCUGGCCAAUGCA
rnacentral:tRNA from 1 species